AUUGAACGCUGGCGGCAUGCCUAACACAUGCAAGUCGAACGGCAGCACGGGUGCUUGCACCUGGUGGCGAGUGGCGAACGGGUGAGUAAUACAUCGGAAUAUGUCCUGUAUUGGGGGAUAGUCCGGCGAAAGCCGGAUUAAUACCGCAGACGAUCUACGGAUGAAAGAGGGGGCACUUGGGGCCUCGCGCUUUGGGGUUGGUCGAUGGCGGAUUAGCUAGUUGGUGGGGUAAAGGCCUACCAAGGCGACGAUCAGUAGCUGGUCUGAGAGGACGACCAGCCACACUGGAACUGAGACACGGCCCAGACUCCUACGGGAGGCAGCAGUGGGGUAUUUUGGACAAUGGGCGAAAGCCUGAUCCAGCAAUGCCGCGUGUGUGAAGAAGGCCUUCGGGUUGUAAAGCACUGUUGUCCGGGAAGAACUACUUGGCCCUAAUACGGUCGGGGGAUGACGGUACCGGAAGAAUAAGCACCGGCUAACUACGUG
rnacentral:rRNA from 1 species